CAUCACUUGUUUCAUACACAUUAUUAUUAUUAUUAUUUCUUAUCUUAAUAAACUGUCUUUAUCUGAACCCACAGGCUUCACUUUCCCGUUUCUCUCCCCCAUCCCAGAGAGGGAGGGGGUAGGGGGAGCGAACGGCUGCGUGGUGUUUAGCUUCCGGCUGGGUUAAACCACAACACUCAUAAAGUGGUAU